UGCUAUUUCGUUGUUAGAAACUUUUUCAAAUCGAGGAUUUUGAGACUAGAAUGCUUGAAUUGUACUAGCAUACUGGCCCCCAAAUCUUCGCUUAGAAAUACAGUUCACAAUU
rnacentral:pre_miRNA from 15 species